AAGAUUCUACUUUUCUAACAAGCUUUUCGCUGAUUUGAUGCUGUUGAUUCAUGGACCGUCCUUUGAAGAGCAGAGCAGACGGUGGGCCAGUUAGUGCUGGAUCCAGUUAUGAUCUCCUCUACUUGUUGUAAAGUAUUUAAUACAGCACCUGGCAUAGGGUCAGCCCGUCACUAUUACUGCUUUAUUAUCUGUGUAGGAUAAACCGGAAAACUUAUCCUUGAUGCACUGUUUAAUAUUAUCAAAACUGGGACGAAGUUGAUCCUCAUCUUCAAGGACGUGUUACAAGCCUUAUGGAAUUUGCUGGUCAUCUGUAGCUAAGCAAGCUGAGCAAAUCUGACAGCCCUUGUGCAGAGUCCCUGUGGACGUCACUCACUCUCAGCCCUUGCUCCAUGCACCCCCUCCUGUGGGCCAACAGAAGAGGAAACCAAAUGUUUUCAUCAGCAGCCAGGGAAGUCGGAGCCACCUUACAAAGGGACCCAGUGCUGCAUUAUUAAACCAGCCCUGAAAGAAAGGAGAGCAGAGGAAAAGAUUUUCAUGAAAAUUGUUACAUAUUAUAACACAGAUCCUGUGCGCAAAAGAUGAAGAUACUGUUGUCGACUGGCACGGCGUCAGAGGAAAACCGGAGGAGGGUCAGACGGUCAUUCCUGGGCCCUCCCCGCCUCCAGAGCAGCGAAUCAUCCCGCGGCCCGCAGAUACCCAAGCCGCGAAACAGGACGAGCCCCCAGGAGAGCUCCGCUACAGUCACAAUUCUAGAUGAGCAGCAGAUGUGGUUACGUCCUAAACCUACUGGAUGGAUCUGGUGUCAAGUCUCCUCUGGACAGCCGGUGACGCUGAUGGGCCCCCACCGCCACAAAGAACAUCAAUCAGGGAGGACUUCAGGGGGGAGUAAUCACAUAUCUUGAAAAGAGAAUAAUAGCCAGAAGCCCCUGAAGUUCUCACCAUGAAGCACCAUGGCUCCAACACUCAGAACCCCGCUCAGGACAAAGGACUCUGAGCAGAUACCAAACGGUGGAACCUGGGGUGGUCUUAUCUGCAGGGCUUUCUGCUUUUUAUUGACCGUUGGCAGACUAGGAGGAAGACAGGAGACAACAGGGAUUCUGUACCUAAGGCGGCAAC
rnacentral:lncRNA from 1 species